rnacentral:rRNA from 1 species
GACGAACGCUGGCGGCGUGCUUAACACAUGCAAGUCGAACGGAAAGGCCCUGCUUUUGUGGGGUGCUCGAGUGGCGAACGGGUGAGUAACACGUGAGUAACCUGCCCUUGACUUUGGGAUAACUUCAGGAAACUGGGGCUAAUACCGGAUAGGAGCUCCUGCUGCGUGGUGGGGGUUGGAAAGUUUCGGCGGUUGGGGAUGGACUCGCGGCUUAUCAGCUUGUUGGUGGGGUAGUGGCUUACCAAGGCUUUGACGGGUAGCCGGCCUGAGAGGGUGACCGGCCACAUUGGGACUGAGAUACGGCCCAGACUCCUACGGGAGGCAGCAGUGGGGAAUAUUGCACAAUGGGCGGAAGCCUGAUGCAGCAACGCCGCGUGCGGGAUGACGGCCUUCGGGUUGUAAACCGCUUUCGCCUGUGACGAAGCGUGAGUGACGGUAAUGGGUAAAGAAGCACCGGCUAACUACGUGCCAGCAGCCGCGGUGAUACGUAGGGUGCGAGCGUUGUCCGGAUUUAUUGGGCGUAAAGGGCUCGUAGGUGGUUGAUCGCGUCGGAAGUGUAAUCUUGGGGCUUAACCCUGAGCGUGCUUUCGAUACGGGUUGACUUGAGGAAGGUAGGGGAGAAUGGAAUUCCUGGUGGAGCGGUGGAAUGCGCAGAUAUCAGGGGGAACACCAGUGGCGAAGGCGGUUCUCUGGGCCUUUCCUGACGCUGAGGAGCGAAAGCGUGGGGAGCGAACAGGCUUAGAUACCCUGGUAGUCCACGCUGUAAACGGUGGGUACUAGGUGUGGGGUCCAUUCCACGGGUUCCGUGCCGUAGCUAACGCUUUAAGUACCCCGCCUGGGGAGUACGGCCGCAAGGCUAAAACUCAAAGGAAUUGACGGGGCCCCGCACAAGCGGCGGAGCAUGCGGAUUAAUUCGAUGCAACGCGUAGAACCUUACCUGGGUUUGACAUGGAUCGGGAGUGCUCAGAGAUGGGUGUGCCUCUUUUGGGGUCGGUUCACAGGUGGUGCAUGGCUGUCGUCAGCUCGUGUCGUGAGAUGUUGGGUUAAGUCCCGCAACGAGCGCAACCCUUGUUCACUGUUGCCAGCACGUUAUGGUGGGGACUCAGUGGAGACCGCCGGGGUCAACUCGGAGGAAGGUGGGGAUGACGUCAAGUCAUCAUGCCCCUUAUGUCCAGGGCUUCACGCAUGCUACAAUGGCUGGUACAGAGAGUGGCGAGCCUGUGAGGGUGAGCGAAUCUCGGAAAGCCGGUCUCAGUUCGGAUUGGGGUCUGCAACUCGACCUCAUGAAGUCGGAGUCGCUAGUAAUCGCAGAUCAGCAACGCUGCGGUGAAUACGUUCCCGGGGCU